CCUACGGGCGGCAGCAGUGAGGAAUAUUGGUCAAUGGACGAGAGUCUGAACCAGCCAAGUAGCGUGAAGGAUGACUGCCCUAUGGGUUGUAAACUUCUUUUAUAUGGGAAUAAAAUGUUCCACGUGUGGGAUUUUGUAUGUACCAUAUGAAUAAGGAUCGGCUAACUCCGUGCCAGCAGCCGCGGUAAUACGGAGGAUCCGAGCGUUAUCCGGAUUUAUUGGGUUUAAAGGGAGCGUAGGUGGAUUGUUAAGUCAGUUGUGAAAGUUUGCGACUCAACCGUAAAAUUGCAGUUGAAACUGGCAGUCUGGAGUACAGUAGAGGUGGGCGGAAUUCGUGGUGUAGCGGUGAAAUGCUUAGAUAUCACGAAGAACUCCGAUUGCGAAGGCAGCUCACUGGACUGCAACUGACACUGAGGCUCGAAAGUGUGGGUAUCAAACAGGAGUAGAUACCCCUGUAGUC
rnacentral:rRNA from 1 species